GGCAGAAUCACCUUCACCUUCUCGGCUUAGUCAACCAACUGCAGGUAAACUAGGACAGCGAGUCGGUUUGGAUCAACCGACUCGGAGCAGAGGCAGAUGGCCUUGGAAAUACAAGCAAAGGAGAGUUGUCGGAUCUUUGGAGCCCUACUAGGACAAUGAAACCGAUGUGUUCCUCCUGACAAUGGUUCUCCAUUCUUCAUUUUUCUUCCGGGAUAGCAGUGCAGAUCCUUGUGUCGUGUGCCUCACUGGCUCACUCGGCUCAUCGCAAAGCCUUCUGUCUUUUCCUGUGUAAAGUUAGUCUUAUGACCGUGAUAGCAUCCGGUGAUUUAUGAAUGAAUCACCGUGACCAAGCAAUAGAGCCUUGUGAACCACCCGAUCGUUUGCCUUAAUUCAAGGUUGUACUAGCUGACCGACUAAGUUUGUUAGCGAUGUUUGUGUCAGUUCAUGCUGGUAUGUAGCAAUCGCCGUGCAGUCAGCGCCGUGCAGUCUGCUCAGAUAAAAAUAUGUAGGAAUAUGUAUAUCGCAUGCAACAAAAUCUUACAACAUCUGACAAAUGUCCAAUUUCCACCUGCAUGAUAUCUGUACAGCAAAUACUCUGGUGCAAAAUAAUAUUGCAUGACACUCUGGUGCAAAUUAGGUUGCCAGAAGCCCCAACAUAAUUUUUUUACGUCUCAUGCAACAAAAACU
rnacentral:lncRNA from 1 species